rnacentral:misc_RNA from 1 species
GAAAUGUGAUAAGUAAUGUGAAUUGCAGAAUUCAGUGAAUCAUCGAAUCUUUGAACGCACCUUGCGCUCCCUAGUAUUCUGGGGAGCAUGUCUGUUUGAGUGUCAUGAACUCUUCAACUCUAUCGUUUCUUGUUAAGCGAUUAGAAGUUUGGAUUUUGAAUGUUGCUAGUCCUUUUACGGGACUUUAGCUCGUUCGUAAUACAUUAGCCUUUCUAAUUCCGAACUUCGGAUUGACUCAGUGUAAUAGACUAUUCGCUGAGGACACUAGUAAUAGUGGCCGAUAUUCAACAUAAGAAAAGCUUCAAACCUUUGUAGUCAAUUUUAGAUUAGACCUCAGAUCAGGCAGGAUUACCCGCUGAACUUAA